GGUUAAGCGACUAAGCGUACACGGUGGAUGCCCUGGCAGUCAGAGGCGAUGAAGGACGUGCUAAUCUGCGAAAAGCGUCGGUAAGGUGAUAUGAACCGUUAUAACCGGCGAUGUCCGAAUGGGGAAACCCAGUGCAAUUCGUUGCACUAUCGUUAACUGAAUACAUAGGUUAACGAGGCGAACCGGGGGAACUGAAACAUCUAAGUACCCCGAGGAAAAGAAAUCAACCGAGAUUCCCCCAGUAGCGGCGAGCGAACGGGGAGCAGCCCAGAGUCUGAAUCAGCUUGUGUGUUAGUGGAACGGUCUGGAAAGUCCGACGGUACAGGGUGAUAGUCCCGUACACCAAAAUGCACAGGCUGUGAACUCGAAGAGUAGGGCGGGACACGUGGUAUCCUGUCUGAAUAUGGGGGGACCAUCCUCCAAGGCUAAAUACUCCUGACUGACCGAUAGUGAACCAGUACCGUGAGGGAAAGGCGAAAAGAACCCCGGCGAGGGGAGUGAAAAGAACCUGAAACCGUGUACGUACAAGCAGUGGGAGCACCUUCGGGUGUGACUGCGUACCUUUGUAUAAUGGGUCAGCGACUUAUAUUCUGUAGCAAGGUUAACCGUAUAGGGAGCCGCAGGGAAACCGAGUCUUAACUGGGCGUUAAGUUGCAGGGUAUAGACCCGAAACCCGGUGAUCAGCCAUGGGCAGGUUGAAGGUUGGGUAACACUAACUGGAGGACCGAACCGACUAAUGUUGAAAAAUUAGCGGAUGACUUGUGGCUGGGGUGAAAGGCCAAUCAAACCGGGAGAUAGCUGGUUCUCCCGAAAGCUAUUUAGGUAGCGCCUCGUGAAUUCAUCUUCGGGGGUAGAGCACUGUUUCGGCUAGGGGGUCAUCCCGACUUACCAACCCGAUGCAAACUACGAAUACCGAAGAAUGUUAUCACGGGAGACACACGGCGGGUGCUAACGUCCGUCGUGAAGAGGAAACAACCCAGACCGCCAGCUAAGGUCCCAAAGUCAUGGUUAAGUGGGAAACGAUGUGGGAAGGCACAGACAGCCAGGAUGUUGGCUUAGAAGCAGCCAUCAUUUAAAGAAAGCGUAAUAGCUCACUGGUCGAGUCGGCCUGCGCGGAAGAUGUAACGGGGCUAAACCAUGCACCGAAGCUGCGGCAGCGACACUAUGUGUUGUUGGGUAGGGAGCGUUCUGUAAGCCUGCGAAGGUGACCUGUGAGGGUUGCUGGAGGUAUCAGAAGUGCGAAUGCUGACAUAAGUAACGAUAAAGCGGGUGAAAAGCCCGCUCGCCGGAAGACCAAGGGUUCCUGUCCAACGUUAAUCGGGGCAGGGUGAGUCGACCCCUAAGGCGAGGCCGAAAGGCGUAGUCGAUGGGAAACAGGUUAAUAUUCCUGUACUUGGUGUUACUGCGAAGGGGGGACGGAGAAGGCUAUGUUAGCCGGGCGACGGUUGUCCCGGUUUAAGCAUGUAGGCUGGUUAUCCAGGCAAAUCCGGAUAAUCAAGGCUGAGGUGUGAUGACGAGGCACUACGGUGCUGAAGUAACAAAUGCCCUGCUUCCAGGAAAAGCCUCUAAGCAUCAGGUAACAUCAAAUCGUACCCCAAACCGACACAGGUGGUCAGGUAGAGAAUACCAAGGCGCUUGAGAGAACUCGGGUGAAGGAACUAGGCAAAAUGGUGCCGUAACUUCGGGAGAAGGCACGCUGGUGUGUAGGUGAAGUCCCUGCGGAUGGAGCUGAGACCAGUCGAAGAUACCAGCUGGCUGCAACUGUUUAUUAAAAACACAGCACUGUGCAAACACGAAAGUGGACGUAUACGGUGUGACGCCUGCCCGGUGCCGGAAGGUUAAUUGAUGGGGUUAUCCGUAAGGAGAAGCUCUUGAUCGAAGCCCCGGUAAACGGCGGCCGUAACUAUAACGGUCCUAAGGUAGCGAAAUUCCUUGUCGGGUAAGUUCCGACCUGCACGAAUGGCGUAAUGAUGGCCAGGCUGUCUCCACCCGAGACUCAGUGAAAUUGAACUCGCUGUGAAGAUGCAGUGUACCCGCGGCAAGACGGAAAGACCCCGUGAACCUUUACUAUAGCUUGACACUGAACAUUGAGCCUUGAUGUGUAGGAUAGGUGGGAGGCUUUGAAGCGUGGACGCCAGUCUGCGUGGAGCCAACCUUGAAAUACCACCCUUUAAUGUUUGAUGUUCUAACGUUGGCCCUUACCGGGGUUGCGGACAGUGUCUGGUGGGUAGUUUGACUGGGGCGGUCUCCUCCCAAAGCGUAACGGAGGAGCACGAAGGUUAGCUAAUCGGUCGGACAUCAGGAGGUUAGUGCAAUGGCAUAAGCUAGCUUGACUGCGAGCGUGACGGCGCGAGCAGGUGCGAAAGCAGGUCAUAGUGAUCCGGUGGUUCUGAAUGGAAGGGCCAUCGCUCAACGGAUAAAAGGUACUCCGGGGAUAACAGGCUGAUACCGCCCAAGAGUUCAUAUCGACGGCGGUGUUUGGCACCUCGAUGUCGGCUCAUCACAUCCUGGGGCUGAAGUAGGUCCCAAGGGUAUGGCUGUUCGCCAUUUAAAGUGGUACGCGAGCUGGGUUUAGAACGUCGUGAGACAGUUCGGUCCCUAUCUGCCGUGGGCGCUGGAGAAUUGAGGGGGGCUGCUCCUAGUACGAGAGGACCGGAGUGGACGCAUCACUGGUGUUCGGGUUGUCAUGCCAAUGGCACUGCCCGGUAGCUAAAUGCGGAAGAGAUAAGUGCUGAAAGCAUCUAAGCACGAAACUUGCCCCGAGAUGAGUUCUCCCUGAGACUUUAAGUCUCCUGAAGGAACGUUGAAGACGACGACGUUGAUAGGCCGGGUGUGUAAGCGCAGCGAUGCGUUGAGCUAACCGGUACUAAUGAACCGUGAGGCUUAACCUU
rnacentral:rRNA from 1 species